GAACGGGUGCAAGCGGUUACUCGGGAAGUUACUGGGGCGUAAAGCGUGCGUAGGUGGUGGUUUAAGUCUGCUGUGAAAGACCCUGGGGCUCAACCUGGGGAAUUGCAGUGGAUACUGGGUCACUAGAGUGUGGUAGAGGGAUGCGGAAUUUCCGGUGUAGCAGUGAAAUGCGUAGAGAUCGGAAGGAACAUCCGUGGCGAAGGCGGCAUCCUGGGCCAACACUGACACUGAGGCACGAAAGCGUGGGGAGCAAACAGGAUUAGAUACCCUGGUAGUCCACGCCCUAAACGAUGCGAACUGGAUGUUGGGUGCAACUUGGCACCCAGUAUCGAAGCUAACGCGUUAAGUUCGCCGCCUGGGGAGUACGGUCGCAAAGACUG
rnacentral:rRNA from 1 species